rnacentral:misc_RNA from 1 species
GAUGAAGAACGUAGCGAAAUGCGAUAAGUAAUGUGAAUUGCAGAAUUCAGUGAAUCAUCGAAUCUUUGAACGCACAUUGCGCCCGCCAGUAUUCUGGCGGGCAUGCCUGUUCGAGCGUCAUUUCAACCAUCAAGCCCCAGGCUUGUGUUGGGGACCUGCGGCUGCCGCAGGCCCUGAAAACCAGUGGCGGGCUCGCUGUCACACCGGGCGUAGUAGAUUUUAUCUCGCUCUGGGCGUGCUGCGGGUUCCGGCCGUUAAAAAACCCUUUUAACCCAAGUUUGACCUCGGAUCAGGUAGGAAUACCCGCUGAACUUAAGCAUAUCAAUAAGCGGAGGA